rnacentral:lncRNA from 1 species
CCAAAUGAUGGUAGUACUCGAAGAUCACUUAGCUGUAAAAGAUGGAGGUACGUGACUUCUGAAAAUCAUACAUUGGAGGUCUCUCUUUAUCUGUAAAGUAUAUCUUUCUGCAUGAAUGUUUUUUUAAUAUAAGAAGUAAAAACAUAUGCAAGUCCUGUCUCAGUUUUUCAGUAACAAUAUUCAACACCGUUUUAGGAUACAUCUGGUCACUCCUAUUCAAUAGUAUGUAGGUAUUUUAUACAUAUUCAUUUCAUUGUGAUGUCGACUUUAUUCAGAUUUCAUGAUUUACCUGAAUAUUUAUUGUUAAAUUGGUUGUGGCUGGAUGCUUACUUGAUGAUCUUUCCUUCGAGAAAAGGUGACAUAGAUAUAUGCCAGGGGUUCUUUGAUUUUGAAGAUAUGUCACCUUAAAAAACUUUGAUACCCCCACCACUAUUGGAAUUAAUAUGCUGUCUUUUUAAGUGUCUGACUUCUUGUCAGGCUUGUCACCGGUGAUCUUUCCACGUCUAGAAAGCACUCACCAUUACAGGAUUUGAAACUGUAGUUGGUGCAACAGAGUGGCUUUCUUUUUAUCUUUUCCUAACUUCUUAAAUCACGUUUUCUGGGUCUAGUUCUUUUGACAUACAUAGCGUCAUAUUUGAAGCACAAGAUAGCAUAAGGAGCAUGAUUUAAUACAUGGAAAUAAUGUUUGAAAAUAAUAGGCAGACCAAUCAGUUUUUAUGACGGCGAUGUUUGGGCCAGCUUGUGCACGCCUUGAUUAAUUCCUGUAGGUACCUCCCACCAGCAUAGGUACCAGGUAAUCCGCCCACCAAUGCUUGGGCAAAUGGGAAGAAGUCAGCUGGUGUUUGUUGCCUCCACUGGAAUUUGAAUGGGAGAUCUCAUGACUCUCCUCCCACUUCAUUGACCACCAAGCCACUCUUUACUGCUAGACCGAUCAUUUAAUUAAACAAGGGAUAUGGAACUAUCACCUUUAUCACCAUUGAUCCUAGGUUAUAAGGGGACACAAGGCAUCAAAAGUUCUCUUAUGAACGAGUCUUUCUAUUCUGGCUACUGUGGACAUAUUUUCUUAAUAUAUUAGAGUGGGCCUCUCUAACAGAUGAGAAAUGGCUCAAAAAAGCACGUCAAGCUUUUCAUUGCCGUAUGCAACAUAUGUCAUCUUUAUGGCAAGAGCUUGUCAAAAAAGCAAUAGUAUGAAACCAUCAUUGAGUGGAGUAGUUCUAGAAUACUUUUUUUGGAACUUGCAUCUAUUCUUCAUACAUAAUACCAGAGUUUAUCCAGGGAAUGUAUUAACUCACAAACUCACCUCCAGCCUCCAUAGACCAGGACGUGUGUUCUCCGAGAGCUUUUCUAAUGAUGACAUUUUAUGAGAGGACAAGGAACCAUAACAAGAAAAUUCAGUGAUAAAAUUGUUGCCCUUCACACUUCUUGAUAACACUAGCUACAAGAACCAAAGAUUCACACUUUUCUUUUCUACGAGGAAUUCACCCAGUGGAAAUGGUAACACAAGUUUAAUAACAUGUCAUGUGAGUAUAGUAUUUCUCAUAGAAUUGCACUUUUAUAUUCAUAAAUCAUUUAUUAAACAUUCAAAAAUAAUUGGAAGAGACGUGCCUAUUUUUACUAGGUAAAGUUGAAUGCCUUCAAAUUACCUAACAAAUAAAAUAUACCUGCACACGUACUGCAAGCCCUAAACAGAUAUCCCUCUAUGCUAAAAACUGAAAUUCCAAUUCAUUUUCAAUGCCUCCUCUAGCAAAGGAACACGCACUGAAAAAGCAGCCAUAGGUACAACAGAUGAGGGAAAUUAUGGCGCUUAUUCUGCAUAUAUGGGUUGCAACUUUAAAGUAAUAUCAUGUUGAUAAAAGUGAAUCAGUUGAGCUUUUGGAAGAAGUUAUGUUCGGUUAAUCGGGGUGAAUCAAUCUUUCCUAGGUUGAAGGAGGUGCUAUAAAGAGCCCAAAGAAUUUAGUGCUUGCAUGUCAUGGAAAAUAUUGAAUGGAUUUAGUGAUUUUUCCAAAUGACAAAUUUACGGCCACUUACUGUUCUUGUUUUCUUCAUCAACAAAAUGAUAUAGCUCUUCAUUAAGGUUUAUUCUGCUAUACAUCAAGUAUCCUUUGAAAUUUCUUAAUCAAACUGUACGGCAGUAAUUCAUUGCCUUGUACACAUUCCUCUUAAAAUUGCACUUUUCCUGUUUAUCUUCGGCAGCUUAUUUAGGUUUUUUAUUGAGUGCUUUUUGUUUUGUUGUGUGGAAAAAUACAAUACUUAACUGCUCGGUACCUGUCAAUGAAAUAAAAGUUCUUUUGCCAUAUCAAAAAAAAAAAAGAAAAAAGAAAAAGAAAAAUACAAUAGUUAACUUGUUGUCCUUAAAAUGGCAGUGACUAUAGCAGGUCAAUGGACACGGAGAGACAUAAAUGUUUCAUUUCCUUUACUCAUGAGACUGUCUAUUUAUUCAUUCCAUUAGUGGUAGAUAGUAUAGGUUCUUAUAUCUUGUGGGUAUUGAAAAAAGUCAUGACAUGCUUUAUUAGGAGCUGGAUUCCUCUCUGAUAUUCAUGCAUUUCUUGCAUUUUACUGUUGAGCAUAAUAAGCAUAUAAGAAAGACAUCUUUAUAACCGACAUCAUAGCACAGCCAAAUCUAGCCCAUUUCUCCUCCAGGAAGAUUCUUGAGGAAAUUAUGUUGUUGAUGGAUAGAAUUGUCAAGGUCAUAACACCUUCAUUGACAUUUUGAAUCACAUCCUAAAAUUGUUAGUUCGAGUUACUUCAAAGACGUGGUAUUAACAUCAUGGAUAAGAUUAUGGUUAAUCAUUAAGGACAUGAUGUUUCCUCUUCACUUAAGAUUCUUGCUUUUCAGCUUUCAUUUGUAUUUGAGAAUAGGCAUGCAGGAUUACUCCAUGGAGAAUUUGUGAUUUCACCUUGUGUUUGUCACCCUUCCGAAGUAAACCUGUCUUCCAAUUUAUGUCUGUCAUCCAUCAGAAGAAAAAACUCUAUGAGCUGUUUCACCUUAUUCCUGAAAUAUGUAAGGGAACUCUUUAGUUAUCUGUUCCUUCCAUCCCUUUUUUUUUCUUUCUUUCUUUCUUUCUUUCUUUCUUUUGAUAAUCGAGGAAUUCCCAAAAACCUAUGGGCUAUGGCCCACAAUUUGAAAUUUGGUGUAUAAGGGGUCCGUCUAUGACUCCACUUAAAUACCAGGCUUUAUAUGCGGCAGGGUAUGAACCUCAUAUGCUGUGCUCUGACCACUAGACCAAAGCCCUGAGGGCUUCCUUCCAUCCUUUUCUUUUUGGCAACAAUAAGGGGGCAUUGGGCAGUAAAAGUCGUAUAAAAAAUAUAAAUAAACUUCCAAGUGAAAUAGAAAUACCUUGAAUAAUGUGAGUUACAUGGAUGUCUGUUCUCUUAUUUCCUUGUUGAAAUAAGUCUCUAGAUUACCUCCUAUCUGGUUUUAUUUGGAUCACGGAGAUUCUCUCUUAACAAAAAGCAUUUACUAUUCUCUAGUUUAUAAUGGACUAAACUUUUGUUAUCUAUUUCUAUCUAUCUAUCUAUACUAUAUUAAAAGUGCCAAUGCCUUUAAAAGUUAAAUUACCAAAAUAUCCCUUUUAAUUAUUAACCUAUUUAAAUUAAGUACCCUAAUUAAAAAAAACACUUAGCAAACGGGCUUAAACGAAAAGACGCUUAUUUUUACAAAGAGAUAUGCUCCUUCACAAAGUUCCUUAUUCUGUAGCUAUACCUCCAAUGGAAAUUUUCUCAUUCAAACCACUUCACUUAUUCACUUAUUUUGUUCUUCUAUAUUCACUUAUUACUACUUUUAUACUGUCAACGUAUGUUUUAAUUUUGAUUAGGAAGCCUCUAAAUAUGUUUGCAGGGACUGGAAUAUAGCUGAACAUUGAGAUGCCAUAUUAUGGGCUCAAGAUGAAAGGCUUGAAGAGUGCACCAUCAUGUGAGAUUUAAUUUCAAUUUCAUUUUGUGUUCACCAGCCCACCCUAGAACCGGUUUCUCGGCAUGCCUUCAAAGUAAUAUCUGUUGAUAAGACACUACCAAGAGAUUCAGUAACAUGAAAGGAAGUGAAAGAGAUGAGUUCCAUAUCGUGGCAUAAAUGCAUCCUAACAUUCAUGAGAAGAUAUGUACCUGCCAACUAGAGGUGAGUUUUUUUAUUUUUUCAAAAUUAUGUUAUACAUCAUGCUGUUUAACACGAUAUGUGGUUUAUCCUGUAUUAAAAACUGUAAUUUCGUAAUAUAUGUAUUUUGAUGAUGAUAGUUAGAUAGAGACAACCUUUUGUCAACGGACUUACUUGGCCUACUGACAGAAAGUAAACUUCAAUAUGUUUUUGGCUUCUGAUGUUGAGGACUCUAUGAUGGAAUACAUGCUGAGGAUGCAGAGACUGCGGAAGAAACAGAUACUGAGCUGAGGGUAAGGUCUCAGUAUUUUCAGUAAUUAAGCUUUGCUAUCAUUCUUUUGAUUUCUUUGUUCUGUAAUUCCUUGUUGUAGUGUGAACAGUGCGAUUUGCUUGAGUUUCCUGAGGAAAAAAUAAAUUGUUUUUUCUUUACAUGAAAGCAGAAGGAAAGUAACAAAUUUUAUUGCCGUUUGACUGAUGUUUCUGUUUGUAAGACUAUUGAAAAGAUUUCACUAUACGCUAGCUAUUUCAUUUAUUAAGCUAUGGAUUAUUUUUCUCACCUAAUUAAACAAUUCAACGGAUUUAUGCAGGUAGGUUCUUUCUCAUCUAUCUAUCUAUAUAUAUAAAGUUGGGACAAUAGAAGAUGAGUUGGCACCUCUCUUUGGCCAAGGAUUCUAUUUAUCUUUUUUCUCUCUCUCUCUCUUUUUUUUUUUUUUUUUUUUUUUUUUU